GAUGAAGAACGUAGCGAAAUGCGAUAAGUAAUGCGAAUUGCAGAAUUUCCGUGAGUCAUCGAAUCUUUGAACGCACAUUGCGCCCACUGGUAUUCCGGUGGGCAUGCCUGUUCGAGCGUCAUUAUCCUCCCUCAAACCCCGGGUUUGGUGUUGGACCCAAGUUGUGUGAACAACUGGUCUCAAAGACAAUGACGGCGUCCGUGGGACCCUCGGUGCAACGAGCUUUUAGGAGCACGCGCCGAGUUGCAAGGACCUUCCGGGCCGGUCUCCUUUACUAUUUUACAAGGUUGACCUCGGAUCAGGUAGGAAUACCCGCUGAACUUAAGCAUAUCAAUAAGCGGAGGA
rnacentral:misc_RNA from 1 species